rnacentral:rRNA from 1 species
CGUGAGGAACCUGCCUCAAAGAGGGGGACAACAGUUGGAAACGACUGCUAAUACCGCAUAAGCCCACAGCUCGGCAUCGAGCAGAGGGAAAAGGAGUAAUCCGCUUUGAGAUGGCCUCGCGUCCGAUUAGCUAGUUGGUGAGGUAAUGGCCCACCAAGGCGACGAUCGGUAGCCGGACUGAGAGGUUGAACGGCCACAUUGGGACUGAGACACGGCCCAGACUCCUAUGGGAGGCAGCAGUGGGGAAUAUUGCACAAUGGGGGAAACCCUGAUGCAGCGACGCCGCGUGGAGGAAGAAGGUCUUCGGAUUGUAAACUCCUGUUGUUGAGGAAGAUAAUGACGGUACUCAACAAGGAAGUGACGGCUAACUACGUGCCAGCAGCCGCGGUAAAACGUAGGUCACAAGCGUUGUCCGGAAUUACUGGGUGUAAAGGGAGCGCAGGCGGGAGAACAAGUUGGAAGUGAAAUCCAUGGGCUCAACCC